rnacentral:rRNA from 1 species
UAAGGAAUAUUGGACAAUGGUCGCAAGACUGAUCCAGCCAUGCCGCGUGCAGGAAGACGGCCCUACGGGUUGUAAACUGCUUUUGCACCAGAGAAAACCCUUCUACGUGUAGGAGGCUGAUAGUAUGGUGAGAAUAAGCAUCGGCUAACUUCGUGCCAGCAGCCGCGGUAAGACGAAGGAUGCAAGCGUUAUCCGGAUUCAUUGGGUUUAAAGGGAGCGUAGGUGGACUUGUAAGUCAGUGGUGAAAUCCCAUCGCUUAACGAUGGAACUGCCAUUGAUACUGCUUGUCUUGAGUACAGAUGCUGUGGGCGGAAUAUGACAUGUAGUGGUGAAAUACUUAGAGAUGUCAUAGAACACCGAUUGCGAAGGCAGCUCACAAAACUGUAACUGACACUGAGGC